CAGCAGUGAGGAAUAUUGCACAAUGGAGGAAACUCUGAUGCAGCAACGCCGCGUGGAGGAUGACGCAUUUCGGUGUGUAAACUCCUUUUAAGAGGGAAGAUUAUGACGGUACCUCUUGAAUAAGCACCGGCUAACUCCGUGCCAGCAGCCGCGGUAAUACGGAGGGUGCAAGCGUUACUCGGAAUCACUGGGCGUAAAGGGUGCGUAGGCUGACUUUUAAGUCAGGCGUGAAAUCCAAUGGCUUAACCAUUGAACUGCGCUUGAAACUGGGAGUCUAGAGUUCAGAAGGGGCAGAUGGAAUUAGUGGUGUAGGGGUAAAAUCCGUAGAUAUCACUAGGAAUAUCAAAAGCGAAGGCGAUCUGCUGGGAUGAUACUGACGCUGAGGCACGAAAGCGUGGGGAGCAAACAGGAUUAGA
rnacentral:rRNA from 1 species